rnacentral:lncRNA from 1 species
UUUUUUUUUUUUUUUUUUUUUUUUUCCGGUUCCAGAUACUAAUCCUGAUUCCAGGAUUCAUUCCACAGCCAACCUUAGGUUCUAGAGUCAGAGGUGGAUUUUUUUCUCAGCUCUUCUACUUAUGAACUAUUCAACAUUGAUCAAGUGUCAUGACCUCUCUGAACCUUGGGUGUAAAAUGAAGAUUACAGUAACUUGCUGUGCCACUUUGCUGAAAGGAUUGAAAGGAUUACAUGACGUAAAGUAGUAUACUUUUGGCAUGGUGCACAACAUGUGGUAAGCACUUUAUGAAUAUUAACUGCUACCAAUAAUAAUAUCAAUAGCCAUGAGUAGUACCUAAUAGAGAAGACCAGUGCAUGUUGAGAAGGAAAAUGAAUUCUUUUUGUCAAUUAAAAAGGCAAAAGUCAUGAGCUGCUAAGGUUUAGCUUUCCUUGUGUGUGCAGUGGAGUCUGUAGAGUGCCAGAAUCCCAGAGAUGGAAUGAAUUUUGGAAUAUAAUUGCUUUCCCAACCCUCAGUUUAAACCCCUGUAGAAAGCCCAGUGGUCCUGCCUACUCCCAGCUUAUUACCUCUGCUGUCUAUGAACUCACCAGAUCCUAAGAAAGCUCAGUACUUUCUAGAAAAACAACAGUGAUCUUUAGUGCCCUGUUUCCUAAGAUGUGGUACAAGGAUCUCUACUCUUAGAAGAUGCUCCUCAAGAAAAGGAUAUGAGCAAUGUCAAAAGCUCUAACCACCCAUUUCCUUAGAAAUAUUCUUCAAAGCCUCUGAGAAGUGCUGCAGGUGGAGGAGGUGGGUAUAAAAAAAAAGUUUGGACUUUGUUGAACCUAAGGCUCUCUCCAAACUCAUCUGACCCAAACAAACAAAUAAGAGCAACAACAACCAUAACAAACAGGCAAAAAGCCCUAUUAACAAUCUUGUUGAGCUUUUGCUUUUUUUCAUCUGGAAUCACUUUGGGGACUUCUUCUGUGGUAUCAAGUUUUCUCAUCUAGCUGUUCAUGAAUUACUAUUAUUUUUUGCAGUAUGCCAAUAUGACAUUUUAGAUUCAUUUGAGUUCGAAUAGUCCUGUUGUCCUUUUAGAAAAAUAGACAUUUUCCAACACUCAGUGCUGGUCAUAGUCAAUAAGGACAGGUGGAAUUGUGCUGAUUGUUGACAGCACAUAUAUUCUGAUUGGUCUGUGCCUGUACCACACUGCUUGUUAAGUAUUUUGAAUAUUACUUCUGCUAACAACUCCUCAUUCCUCAAGACUGUCCCCUCUAGAAACCCAUCACUCUCCGUGUCUCAGUGCCAUAAAUCAGCCUCCCAAGGCUUCAGCCCAUCUCUUCUCCAGAAGACUCUCUAUUCAGCUCAGACCCUGUCCAAGGUCUCCACUUGCUUCUCAUACAAGUCAGUGACUUCAGUGUCUCUCCCCCCGUACCCAGAAAAUGUGCCUGAAAAGAGGGGUUGUGAUAAGCCACAAGUCCAGCACAACAGUAGGUCUUCCAAAAUUGAUAUUUGACCUUGAGAUUCAUGCAUGCAAGAGCGCACACACGCACACACACACAAACACACACACACACACCCCUUCCAGAUCCCCCCCAACACAUCCCUUCUAGAGCCCCCAAAGCAGAUACCCAACCAUCACCCCUUCCCCAUUGCAGUAGGGGUCUCACUUCUCUCCAGGAGGUGAAUCCACUGAGAGAACUUCCAGAGCCCUCUCUCGGGGAGGGGAGGAAGGUUAAAAGUGUACAGGGAGCAUUCUUUCUGGCUCCACUCAGAAGCAGUCAGGGCAAAGGGAGUGGGGUUUCUGGUUUCAAAGGGAGCCCAAGUAAAGCUGCUUCUUUGAGUUGCAGCCCCUCUUAGGGAAAUGAAGAGCAUUUUUUUCCCCUCUCCUUCGGCAGGAAGAGCCAUAAAUCAUGAACGUUUCUCUGGUUGUGCAAGUGGGGGUGGGAUUAAGAUUGUUUGGUUGGAUUUGUUUGAGUGUGUGUCUCUGGGUCUUCAUUCCCCUCCCCCUUCAUAAACAUCAGCUUGUAAGUUCUCAUCCUCUAGAGGACACACCAAAGGCAUCAUGUUAAAUAUUUAGAGCAGGAAACCACCUUACGCGGCUGGAUGGGAAAAGUCAUCUCAGAAGAGGUGCUCAUGGGGGGGCCUCCCAUCUCUCUCCUUACCAUGCAAAUGAGAAGGCACCCUUCCUUUUGAUACCCAGGUGUCACCUCCAACUCUUCUUGAGAAAGGAGGGAGGCUUAGCCCGGCGGCCGGGGAGGGAAAGUGUUUCUUCUUAAAGUAAGGUUUUAUAGGCCAAGGUAAUCGAUAAAAUACAUUUUUAAUAGCCUUUUUCUUGUGAGUAAGGUAGUUAUGUGGCUCAGUGAAGGGAGAGAAACAUGGUUGGAGGAAGAAUCUGCCAAAUCAUCUACCAGAGGACCUUCCACAUCCAGGGGUCUGUUUGUGCUGAAAUACAACCCCGCUCAUGUACUUCCCUGUGCAAAACCUUCUAUGGCUCCUUACUGCCUAGGGACGAAACUUCAAGUUAGCACCUAGGGAACGGAAGAGCCCUCAGAAUGUGGCUCAGGUCUAAUUUUUCUUCUCCUGCAUGUCUUUUCUUUCAUCCACGGCUCUAAUUUCUUCAAAAUUCUUUGAUUAUCCAUGUAUUUCCAUAUCUUAGUCUUUUUGCUCUCUAGGUCUAGAAUGAUGUUUGCUUCACCUCUCUGUUAUAUCCCUGGAAGAGUCCAGACUGACUCAUUAGUUGUGAAAAUUUUUAACAGUAAACAGCUGUAACUGGUAGAUACAUUGGCUCAUGUAACUGGGAAGUUAAGAAACAUGGACUUCAAGUAAGGCUUCAUCCAGGAGCUCAAACAACGGCAUGAAGGGGUCAGUUUUCCUCAACUCUUUAUGUCAGACACCAUGUGACAACCCCUGCUAACUCUUAGAUCUCCCUUAAUGGAAGUAGAACAGACCUAGUCAUUCUAGACCUCAUGUAUUUACUCUACACCAUCCAGGAGAAAAUAGACUCUGUUUAGGUAACUCCUACACAAGUUUUGGGAGUCAGUUUCAAUGGCCUCAGUUAAAUCUUGUGUCAAUCCCUACAUGAACAGCUGGGACUGGGAGAUCAUAUCCAUUUGCCUUUGUACAUCUCAUUUCCUCUUUAUAGAACACUUCUUGCAAAACUCCUAUUUGACCCUCAAAACCUGGGCCAAAUGUCCCAUAACUCUGUUAAGCUUCCCACUCCAUUCUAACUUCUCUUUAGUGAGUUUUUUGCUAUGUUCCCAAUACACACUGUUUAUUUUUCUAUAUGUGCACAAUAUAUUGCCUUAUUGUCACAUAUCGAAGGAUGUGAGUUCUUCUAGGGUACUGACCACACCGGAUGCAUAUCAAUAGCCUGCAUGUUGACUCACAUACUGCCAGACAUGAGACAGUCUAGAAAUAUCUGUUGAAUGAAUUCAUGUGCAGUGUGCAUGGACAUCUGCUGUCACCCCACCUGGGUUCUGAGUCAUCCAUGAAGAAAGAGGUCCUUGAACUCUCAGAAUCAGUUUUGACCUGGAGUUUAAUCAGGUCUUAAGUAAACCUCUGAGCACCAGCCCACUUUU